AACGAACGCUGGCGGCAGGCUUAACACAUGCGAGUCGAACGCCCCGCCAGGGGAGUGGCAGACGGGUGAGUAACGCGUGGGAACAUACCCUUUCCUGCGGAAUAGCUCCGGGAAACUGGAAUUAAUACCGCAUACGCCCUACGGGGGAAAGAUUUAUCGGGGAAGGAUUGGCCCGCGUUGGAUUAGCUAGUUGGUGGGGUAAAGGCCUACCAAGGCGACGAUCCAUAGCUGGUCUGAGAGGAUGAUCAGCCACAUUGGGACUGAGACACGGCCCAAACUCCUACGGGAGGCAGCAGUGGGGAAUAUUGGACAAUGGGCGCAAGCCUGAUCCAGCCAUGCCGCGUGAGUGAUGAAGGCCUUAGGGUUGUAAAGCUCUUUCACCGAUGAAGAUAAUGACGGUAGUCGGAGAAGAAGCCCCGGCUAACUUCGUG
rnacentral:rRNA from 1 species